ensembl:lncRNA
CGCAUUUUGUGUAUUGCCAUUGUGUUAUUACCCCACCGAACGCGUACCUCUUGAGAAACAGCUGCUGGAUGGCAACACUACAUGAGGCGGCGUUUCUAUCAUUAUCAUGUGCGAAAGGCCGAUGGCUCUGCAUGACAUUUGGACCCCAGGAGAAAAAACCAAGACAGCCUGACAGGAGCAACACUAUUUUCAUAUUGUACCACAUCACAUAAAGUCAAGCUGUGCAACUCAAUGGUGGGUGCUGUGCUCUAUUCGGGGAGCUCCGGGGGAGGAAGACCUUGGAAUGAGCCCAUUUGUGGCCGAGGGAAAGUCACAAGGAUGGCGGAAAUUCAUGUCUGACGUCCUCAUCACAGUAACUCCAUUGUCGGCCGGGGACUUGAUUGGACCGGUUGACUCUGCCUCUAUCCGGGUUGCUGCUUAUGUUGGUGCAGAAGACGCAGCGGCUCAAACCAGCUGUGUUUUGGUGAACACACUCAGAGGGACCAAGAUGACGUGAAGUACAGCUCCCUCAGAUGUGUCACUUCCUUUGGUUUGGAAAGGUCACACGUCUCCGCACAGAUGUCACCAUUGGUUUCCCUGCGUGUCGCUUCGGUUCAGCAACCUUUUCCCUGCUUACUUGCUCUUUUGCGUUGUUGUUGUUGUUGUUGUCCAAUUCCAGCGGCCCGCUAGCUGUUAGGCCAAACGCCUUGAUGCAAUUAAAAGUGCUAUAGUUAUAUUGGCAAACAAGAUAUUCCAGGUAUUGUGCUUAGAUUGUUGUAUUUAUCCACAAGACUGAGGUCAGAAAGUGCUUUUUCUCUGCAGGCUAACAACAUUGGAUCAUUUUAGUGGCAAAGCGAGUCAUCACUGUGACUACAGGGGCCGGUAACAAUGUGCUAAAUUAAAAGAACGGCUUUACGUUCACUUGUAUAAAUUUACUACGAUCAUUAGAACAGGGCUGAUCACGUUGAUUAUUUUGAGGAUGAUACUGACGAUGAUGUUGCCACUCGUGGCAGUGACUUGGUGGCCACACUAAUUAGCCGUGAGAGUGGGACAGAAGGGUAUCUUGUCCCUCACAAUGUAUUGGGUUGUCACAGCGGUCCGCCCGGUAGGUGAUAAGCAAAAACUGGUCUCUGCCUGCUCGACUGAGAGAGAUAGAGAGAGAGAGAGAGAGAGAGAGAGAGAGAGAGGGUGGGAUCAGCUAGAGUGACUUCGCAACCGAUGUUACUCCUCGCCUCAGAUAGCUGGCAACUCUGAAAUACUUUAUCAAGGCUCAGCUCGUAAUCUGCAUCAAUGCAUACGCACGGUAGUGUGCAGCAGUGAGUGGCUGACGAGCAAACAAAACCCAGUGGCAGAACACAACGCAGCUUUUUACAUGCAGACAGGACGAAAAGGUUGCUAUCGAUAGGUUUCAAAUCUGACUCCGAUGGUUAGUGGUUUUAACUGAGGUCUGUGCUUCCAGCAAAAUAACUUAUCUGUCGAAAUGUGAAGGCUAUUUCAAGCUGCCGGGUUAUAAUACAUGUGGCAGCCGGCAGGCUUCAGCUCCAGUGUCAACAUUCAGGCACACAAAAGCAUUUGUGGCGUACCAACACUCACGCACAGGCAUCCACUGAAAGGGACAGAGCGUCACAAGUUGUUACUUACAUAUUGACGUGCAUUAAUGCGUCCCUGCGCUCAGACAAUUAUUGGUUCUCACACACGCAUAAAAAAAAACACAAAUAGACAGACACCAAAGCAGAUCAGAUAAGCACAAGCAAGCCCGUACCACAGAGGGGGCGGCCGAGUUUUACUGCCAACCAAACAACAUAGUGAGAACAAGACAGCGCGUCAUUUGCAGACAUGAUAUAUCUCCACUCGCCUUGGGUACACUCAGCCCGGCAUUCGUGACCCUCGGCCAGCCAUGCUGGCAAGGCCGCAGCGGACGGCGUUGCCUUUCACUCUGCAGAAUCACAUUUCGCAGGGUGGCUACAGUUUGCAGUCACAACAAAGUGUCUUCUGUAAUGUGGCAGAAAAACGAUGAAAAGGCUUCAGGCUAGGAGUCUGUCUUAGUGGGUUUUCCUUUCCCUUUUAUCCAUUCCAAUUGAAUUUGCCAUCCAAGACUGCGGCGCUUCACCCUGCUGUCAACUUGAAUCAAAACACCUGCACAUUUUGCGUGAAUAUGCUUCGCUGCUCUGUUAGAGCUGGUCCUCCUGGCUGGGCCUCCUCCAGCUCUCUUAUAACGUGCCUGACCUUUAGAGUGAGUGGACGGAAAGAGUCCAAAGGUCACGCUAUCUGGCCUGCAUGUCAUCAGUUUCAAAUAAGAAACGGAGAAGACUCCCCGAAAACAUGGGCAAUAUAACGGGAGUACAUGUCUGAGAUAGAUCCCAUAUGCUUAGGAUCAAUGUAAAUUAUUGGUACUUGAUCCAUCGCAUGAUGGUUUGCAGUUACAGCAUCCUCUCAUAGUAUGUACUGUUACACAAGGUCCAGUCAGGCCUGUUAUGCAUGCAUACCUCACUUUAGUUAGGCAUUCAGUAAAGUGUGUUAUGUACCAUACAUCUGCCUCCAUCUAAAGCAGUGCUACCUCUCAAUUACCCAGGACCUGACAGUCAACUUUGGAAACUCCGUGCUAACGCCCACUUUGACCGCUAGGAACCUCGGCGUCACACUCGACAGCCAACUCUCCCUGACUCCCAACAUCACUGCGACAACGCAGGUACUGAUUCAGGCUCUUGUCAUCUCCCGCCUGGACUACUGCAACUCCCUCCUGGCAGGUCUCCCCGCCACCGCCAUUCGACCUCUGCAGCUCAUCCAGAAUGCAGCAGCUCGACUGGUCUUCAACCUUCCGAAAUUCUCCCACACUACUCCACUCCUCAGCUCUCUUCACUGGCUACCGGUGGCCGCCCGCAUUUAGUUCAAAACAUUGGUGCUCACGUACCAUGCUGUGAAUGGAUCGGGUCCAGCUUACAUCCAGGACAUGGUCAAACCCUACAUCCCAACCCGCACUCUCCGCUCUGCAUCUGCAAAACUACUCGUCUCUCCCUCACUGAGAGCAAAACACUCGACCAGAUCACGACUCUUUGCUGUCCUUGCUCCGAAAUGGUGGAACGAGCUCUCUGAAGACAUCAGGACCGCAGAGAGCCUUCACAUCUUCCGCCGCAAACUAAAGACACACCUCUUCAGACUCUACAUCGACUAAAAGACUAACAAAUUGUAGCACUUAAAUUGUACUUGUAACGUCACUCAUCUAUAGCAAAUUGUAAAUUGGCUUAUUUGAGGAAAUUGCACUUUCUUGUUUCUUGUUCUCCUGAGUUUGUACCCUAUGGUUGAAUGCACUUAUUGUACGUCGCUUUGGAUAAAAGCGUCCGCUAAAUGACAUGUAAUGUAAUUAGAUCUUUCUUGAAUUUCUAUAGUGAGCAAAACCUCAAAAUCCGCCUCAAUACCCUUCAAAUGACCUGUAAACAAGUAAAAGAUUAUCCAACAGACGUACGGUUAUUGGUUGAUCAAAUUGAGCCGGCUGUGAAAAUAUACUUCUAUUGUAUUAAAGGAUUAAAAACAAUCAGUAACACUUUAAGAGUAUGAACUGUAUGCAACAACAGAAUUCUAUGUGGUAGAGUAUUUAAAGAAUGUUAAAACAGAAAUAAAAGAACGUUAAAGCCAA